UACGGAGGGGGCUAGCGUUGUUCGGAAUUACUGGGCGUAAAGCGCACGUAGGCGGCUUUGCAAGUCAGAGGUGAAAGCCCGGGGCUCAACUCUGGAAUUGCCUUUAAGACUGCAUCGCUAGAAUCGUGGAGAGGUGAGUGGAAUUCCGAGUGUAGAGGUGAAAUUCGUAGAUAUUCGGAAGAACACCAGUGGCGAAGGCGACUCACUGGACACGUAUUGACGCUGAGGUGCGAAAGCGUGGGGAGCAAACAGG
rnacentral:rRNA from 1 species